CAUUGUUCAAUCAAGAAUCAUUAUAUUUGCUAUGUAAAUUUCAUAUUGAAUGAUCUUGAACGUGAUUUUUCUGAAAGACUUUAUCAAGUCAUUCACAUCAUGUUGCUCAUUACUUCAGAAAUCCUGUUUCACAAUGACCCAUUUGAUUGUCAUUCCGGUAGUGACAUGGAGAGGAACUUAUUUAUUAUUUGUUGCAUUCCAGUAUCUUCCCAUGGACUAGACAGGUACAUUUUCCUCUUUCACCAUAAACAUUAUGCAUUUAUUAUCUUGUCAAAUCACACUUCUUUUUAUCAGCUCCUAAUUCUUUCUGCAUAAUUGUUUGACUGGCAGUAGGAUUCAGGCCUUUGUCCUUGAAAUUUUGAUGUUUCUGACACUUUUUUGGUUGGAAUUACUUGUUAAGUUGGAGAAUUGUUGUCAAAUUUCGAGUUAUUAUGCUGACCUUGUAACUGAUAUAUGAAAUUGCGAAAACUUAUGUAGGCCCUGUCCAUUUUUGCUUACUAUGAUUAUUUAAGCUGUGAAGUGGGACACGUCUAUUUGAGAGUGGAAAUAUUUUGUUGUCCCACCCUGAUCCUUAAGGAUUUAGUUAUCAAAUUUGUUGCUAAUCUUUUUUUUUUAAAACUAUAUAUCAGAUGCCACUCUUUGUUUUCCUGUCAAUGACGUGAAACAUCUCUUUCAUUUUUGCAGCGUUGUCAUUCUUAUCAGCCUACAAAUAAAUGUUAUAGAGUGGGGGCAUCUCAGAAAAGGUGUGCAUCCUAGAACUCCUAUAUAGCGUGAAAGCACUGGCUUGCGAACCUUCUCCACCAAAUAAUUAAUGGUCUUCAUGAUGUGUAAUGCGAAACAGUAGCAACAUGACAUCAUGGGAGUUCUGGGCGUUAGGUGGAGCAACCAUUUGGGGUUCAUUUAUUCCUCUGUUUGUUGGGUUAUAUACUGUACAAAAUGCCUAUAUCGGAUUCUUAUAAGUUGCAUCCAGUAUCAGGGCAAUAAUCAGCCACAUCAAUUGAUUUGCAAUCUGAAGAGGUCAGGUAUGUUGUAAUGUAGCUCUGAAGAAUUACUGUUUUAUUGUUAUGCUUAGCAUUUUUUUACUUGUUAAAAGCUGUAGAUAUGAAAAAUAAUGAAUAGCAAAAGACAUCGUCAUGAAUUUACUAGAUAUGCGCAGACCUUUGGCAUUUCAUCUAGUUUCACUGGCUCAAUCAUGGAUACACCCCGUAACAAGAUUCUUCGUGUUUUUCUGGCCAACAACUCUAACAUUUCCCUGACAUGUCUCAACGUUUCUCUUUGAUAUGAUUUGUUAUGUGAUUACACAACAUUCAUCUGCCCAUUGUAUAUCCUCACAUUCAAAUGGUUCCUACAAAAUAAUUUGCUUUAGUUCAGCUUUAUUAUUCUUUUCUAAAAGAACCUCUGUAUUAUUUACUAACGAUGGACAGACUCAUUAGUUAUAAAGAUAGUCUCCUUUGCACGUGGUCCAUACAGGCAACAGUGAACCAAAGAGAUGCCAACCAUUGGCUUAAUGUACUUAGGAAUUUGUGCUUUGAUCUGAAGAUUGUUAUCCAUUUGGUGCACUAUUAAUGCUAUGGAUCAUGGUGCUUCUAAAAUGAUCGUUGUGCUUGUAGCGGCAAAACAAUUACCCGAUGCUCUUUAAAUAUGAAAGUUCAUAUCUCCUUGACCAAUUAUAGCGUAAAAAGUUGGGAUCUCUAACGAUGUUAUAAGAGAAUGCGUUUAGAUUUACUUCCCAUACUACCUAGCAGUAAGAAAGAGGCUAUAUCCCUGCAGUUUUAAUUUGUUGACAUCUAGAUUUCUUGGGAAAAUUUCCGCACAACAAAACCAGAACCUAUGGAUCUCAAACUUGAUAUAAUGAAAUGAAGAAAUAAGGGUGUGAUUCAUAUUUGUUGCAAAAUAAGAUGACUGUAAUAUUAAUAAUUUUACUUUUGGUGGUGUUUCCGUCCUCUCAUCUCUGUUUUUAUGCUUGUAGUAUCGUAACCUGAUUUCAUGUAUCAAGCCAAGUAAUUGUUUUUGUUCUGGAAUUGUUGUGUGAACAAAGCUGGUACUUUGUAAUCUUCAUCCGAUGAUGGCUUAUUUCUUGUCUGUUUAUGGAGAUCAGCAUCUUAAAGACUUUGGAGUAGCCUUUGUUCUUUUUUGGUUUAAAUAUCAGAA